UACGUAGGGUGCAAGCGUUGUCCGGAAUUAUUGGGCGUAAAGAGCUCGUAGGCGGUUUGUCGCGUCUGCUGUGAAAUCCCGAGGCUCAACCUCGGGCCUGCAGUGGGUACGGGCAAACUAGAGUGCGGUAGGGGAGAUUGGAAUUCCUGGUGUAGCGGUGGAAUGCGCAGAUAUCAGGAGAAACACCGAUGGCGAAGGCAGAUCUCUGGGCCGUAACUGACGCUGAGGAGCGAAAGCAUGGGGAGCGAACAGG
rnacentral:rRNA from 1 species